GCAGGUGUUCCUGUGUGUGCAACUGAGCGUCCAUGCUCAAUUUAUGUUCUUUAUUUUUUUUUGCUUUAAUCUGACCAGAUUUUAGUAGUUUAUAUUGAGAUAAGUUCUUUUUAUCAAUGAAGAAUUUGCUACUGCAUUCUUAAAUGCUUUAUGUGAUUGGCAGUUUGUACUGUUGAUCUGAAAUGAGCCAGUCUACCGGUCCAGGGGGACCUCACCCCCUCACCCCCGCCACCUCUGACACCACCCCGUCCCCCCCUCAGUCGUGGGUACAGUUCGAUAACGACGAGCGGCCUCAGCAGGAGCUCCCCACAGCCCCCAGUUCCCCCAGUGGGGUAGCAGCCCUCCCCCCGCCCCC
rnacentral:lncRNA from 1 species